UGGGGAAUUUUGGACGAAUUGGGGGCAACCCGUGAUCCAGCCAUCCCGCGUGUGCGAUGAAGGCCUUCGGGUUGUAAAGCACUUUUGGCAGGGAAGAAACAGCCUGGGAUAAUACCCCGGGCGACUGACGGUACCUGCAGAAUAAGCACCGGCUAACUACGUGCCAGCAGCCGCGGUAAUACGUAGGGUGCAAGCGUUAAUCGGAAUUACUGGGCGUAAAGCGUGCGCAGGCGGUUCGGAAAGAAAGGUGUGAAAUCCCAGGGCUUAACCUUGGAACUGCACUUUUAACUACCGAGCUAGAGUACGUCAGAGGGGGGUAGAAUUCCACGUGUAGCAGUGAAAUGCGUAGAGAUGUGGAGGAAUACCGAUGGCGAAGGCAGCCCCCUGGGAUGAUACUGACGCUCAUGCACGAAAGCGUGGGGAGCAAACAGGAUUAGAUACCCUGGGUAGUCCACGCCCUAAACGAUGUCAACUAGCUGUUGGGGUUUAUUAACCUUAGUAGCGCAGCUAACGCGUGAAGUUGACCGCCUGGGGAGUACGGUCGCAAGAUU
rnacentral:rRNA from 1 species